rnacentral:rRNA from 1 species
CCUACGGGAGGCAGCAGUAGGGAAUAUUGCUCAAUGGGGGAAACCCUGAAGCAGCAACGCCGCGUGGAGGAUGAAGGUUUUCGGAUUGUAAACUCCUUUUGUUAGAGAAGAUAAUGACGGUAUCUAACGAAUAAGCACCGUCUAACUCCGUUCCAGCAGCGGCGGUAAUACGGAGGGUGCAAGCGUUACUCGGACUCACUGGGCGUAAAGGGCGCGUAGGCGGGAUAGCAAGUCAGAUGUGAAAUCCUAUGGCUUAACCAUAGAACUGCAUUUGAAACUGUUAUUCUAGAGUAUGGGAGAGGUAGGUGGAAUUCUUGGUGUAGGGGUAAAAUCCGUAGAGAUCAAGAGGAAUACUCAUUGCGAAGGCGACCUGCUAGAACAUAACUGACGCUGAUGCGCGAAAGUGUGGGGAGCAAACAGGAUUAGAUACCCCAGUAGUC